AAAGAUCGUGUCGUAAUUUCAUGGGUUUCCUUGUUAAAAGACAUUUAUUUAUUUAUUGAUCCACCAACAUUUGUUUACAUCAAUACAUACAAAAACAAAAAUACAUAAUAUACAUAACUUAAUCUAGAUGUAACAAACACUUACAGGCAGAUACAUCAUGCUUAAUAGAAAUAAAACUUCUAAUCACGAGUCGAAGUAAAAACUAAAUAAAAACAAAAUAAAAAAAAACACAAAAAAAGAAAGAAGUAUAAACACAUUUUAAGAUGAUUGGAGUUCGGUAUUUAACAGCGAUCGAACUUUAUUAGUUGAGUCUGCAUUAAUAUCAAACAGGUCACUAUGGCCAUUAACCAGCUUGCAAAGCCUAGGAACAGGGGAGUUUGAUCCAAACACUUAGGUAUGAUAAUUGUGAUUGCUCGCAAACGAAAA